UACGUAGGGCGCAAGCGUUAUCCGGAAUUAUUGGGCGUAAAGAGCUCGUAGGCGGUUUGUCGCGUCUGCCGUGAAAGUCCGGGGCUCAACUCCGGAUCUGCGGUGGGUACGGGCAGACUAGAGUGAUGUAGGGGAGACUGGAAUUCCUGGUGUAGCGGUGAAAUGCGCAGAUAUCAGGAGGAACACCGAUGGCGAAGGCAGGUCUCUGGGCAUUAACUGACGCUGAGGAGCGAAAGCAUGGGGAACGAACAGG
rnacentral:rRNA from 1 species